GUGCCAGCAGCCGCGGUAAUACGAAGGGGGCUAGCGUUGUUCGGAAUCACUGGGCGUAAAGGGCGCGUAGGCGGCCGAUUAAGUCGGGGGUGAAAGCCUGUGGCUCAACCACAGAAUUGCCUUCGAUACUGAUUGGCUUGAGACCGGAAGAGGUCAGUGGAACUGCGAGUGUAGAGGUGAAAUUCGUAGAUAUUCGCAAGAACACCAGUGGCGAAGGCGGCUGACUGGUCCGGUUCUGACGCUGAGGCGCGAAAGCGUGGGGAGCAAACAGGAUUAGAUACCCUGGUAGUCC
rnacentral:rRNA from 1 species